rnacentral:rRNA from 1 species
GACGAACGCUGGCGGCGUGCUUAACACAUGCAAGUCGAACGGAAAGGCCCUGCUUUUGUGGGGUGCUCGAGUGGCGAACGGGUGAGUAACACGUGAGUAACCUGCCCUUGACUUUGGGAUAACUUCAGGAAACUGGGGCUAAUACCGGAUAGGAGCUCCUGCUGCAUGGUGGGGGUUGGAAAGUUUCGGCGGUUGGGGAUGGACUCGCGGCUUAUCAGCUUGUUGGUGGGGUAGUGGCUUACCAAGGCUUUGACGGGUAGCCGGCCUGAGAGGGUGACCGGCCACAGUGGGACUGAGAUACGGCCGAGACUCCUACGGGAGGCAGCAGUGGGGAAUAUUGCACAAUGGGCGGAAGCCUGAUGCAGCAACGCCGCGUGCGGGAUGACGGCCUUCGGGUUGUAAACCGCUUUCGCCUGUGACGAAGCGUGAGUGACGGUAAUGGGUAAAGAAGCACCGGCUAACUACGUG